rnacentral:lncRNA from 1 species
CCCUGGUCCUGGCCUCUGGCUUGCCUGCUCAGCAGUCCAGCCGGGGGAGAGUCCAGGGCAGAGUCCUGUGGCUUAGGGCCUGGGAGAGGCCAGCAUGGGAACCUGGACUGUCCAGUGCCCGAGGGCUGUUGCUGUCAUCCCCAGGGAGAUGGGGACUGGUCCUGGGGGAAUGGAACAGGACCUCCCUUCCGCGUACCCCGAGUUGCCAUGUCAGCCUUGUUAAGUCACAGUCCGGGACCUGGACCAGGGCUCUCAGGACGGGCUCCUGGAGUGUCCAGGGGCUGCUGGGAGCUGGCUCAGGGGGGAGAGGACCACUUCUCUACCCCAUCCUGGCUCCCAUCCUGCCUCAGCCCAUGCCACAGGCCAGAGCCCUUGUUGCUGACUGUUCUGCGCCUGACGAUUGAGCAGAGCUGAGGACACACAAAAGACACAAACACAAAAGGAAAGCCACCCAGCGCAUGGACACAAAGCCAGACCCAGGGACCAAGCCACAGGCCAGUGUGUGCAGUGCCAUGGAUGCCAGGAGCAGGGAGCGGACCAGGACACCGAGGGGCUACAAGCUACAGUGAUGGUGCUAAAGAGCCAGGAUGUCUUGGAAUCUGUACAACUGCCGUUCGCCAUUCACCAAUCUGCAUUGAAGCUCUGGGGACUUCCAGGCCUUGUGAAGUCGGGGCUUCAUGGAGGAGGUGAUACCUGAGCUUGGGAGUCAGAGAACAGGCAAAACUUCACCGAGUCACACACUUACAAAAAUAUUUUGCUUCCUUUAAGCCACUUGUUCCGGGCUGGAAUACAACAAUGCUGAACAUGGAUUGUGAGUGAAUUGAUGAAGAGGUAAAACGACACCACAAUGCAGAAGGGUGCCAUAUAUGAAGCCAUUGGGCACCAAUAUGAGAGGCAGUAAAUCACCCCAGCCGAUUAAGUGCCUUCCCCCAAUAAAACCCAGAUAAUCCCCACACCAAGAGUUGAUCCUUGCGCUCAGGCCAUUCCAAGUUAUCAGCCCAUUUCCCUUCCUGUUGUCCAGCACUCUCACCCACCUCUCUGCUUACUCCGAAGCAGGAAGAGCAGACAUGGGGGUGGGAGUGGGAAGCAGCCUCAGAUCCAGUCGCAGUGGCGACAGCAGCAUCCAUGGCAGCAGAGGGCUGAC